CUGUAGCUCUGUGAAGAGGAAGCCAUUUAAAGUGCUAUCAUUAAGUUUUACAUGUGUUGUUCUGAUAUGGCUUCUUGGGCACAGAGAGAGCAGGGCAAGCAAGUGGACAUCGGCAACAGUGGUUACUUCCCGUGAGCUUACAGAAGACCAUCACUGCAACAAGAACAGCAGCAGCUUUGAAUAACACCAGUUCCCACCUAUUAUCAGCAGCUGGGAAGCUUUUCUAUACAAAGGCAUUCUAAUUGCUAAACAGAUUCAGCACACUGAGCUACAGUUCCUCAAACACAUUCCAUCUGCAGCGGCAUGCCACGGGUGUGAUCCAUCUGGAAAUGUUCUUGUGGUCCCAUCAAACGUUUUCAUUCAUUAUGCCCAGAGAUGUGCCUUUAAGCAUCUCUCAAGCUAGCUGUUAGUGUGAGAGAGAAAAUGGAAAGA